rnacentral:tRNA from 1 species
GCUUGGCUGGCUCAGUCGGUAGAGCUUGUGACUCUUGAUCUCAGGGUUGUGAGUUCAAGCCCCACGUUGGGAC